rnacentral:rRNA from 1 species
AUGGCGAGCCAGGGCCGCCAAUAUGGCACCGAUGCGGACUGCGCCAAGGUGACCCCGUGUCGCCACAGCUCUUCGUGCUCGCCGUGGACACCCUCGGACGCCUUAUCCGCCGCGCCCACGAUUCUGACAUCCUGCAGCAGCUGCACCCGCGGCGUACAAUACCGGCCAUCUCCUUAUACGCCGACGACGUGA